rnacentral:lncRNA from 7 species
GAAGAUCGAAUAAUUGGUGGUGCACAGAAAGAAAAGGUGUAACUAUUAAACAUGCCCACUGAGGAUAAGCAUAGAUAGUGAUAAUUUUUGAUAUGAAUAACAUCAUUUGGAGAAAUGUAAAGAGCCAGAGGGACUCACAUAAGAUCUACUUCUCACUUUCUCUGUUCAGCUGCGGUGCCCUAGCAUACCAAACACAGCUCUGAAUCUAAAUUUCGUAGUGGUUCAGAGGCUCAAAGAGGUCCUCUAGUGAAAGACGCUUCUUCUGAGUGCUGUUUUCAGCCAGCUCUUUGCACGGUAAUUCUGAUGGGCCUGCAAAAGCUGUCUUCAGCUUCUCUUUAAAAGUUGCUGUACAUCCUUUCAGUGUUUUUAGAAAGAAGGAGCAUUUGUGUCAGCUGGAAAGCACGAGAAAUACAUGGACUCACCAUGGGGAGAUACACGUUCCUGAGAUCUCACUUUGUAUCUGAUGUCUGCUUGACACUAAACUGUUGCUAUGCUGAUUCCACUCCAUUUGGCUGUUCAUUGCGAUGAAUAUAUGGGGGCUGUAUUUCCAAAUGUCCUGGGCACCCACAGCACUAAGAUCUGACCACCAGCUAGAUCCACCAGGCCUUGGAGUCCCUUGUAAAGCUAUGCUGAGAUGUUUGACAGAGAAUCUCAUCCUGACAAAACCCCAAGUCCCUGCAGAGUUACUACGGGGUGAGAAGAAACCUGAUGUGGAGGUGUUAAAGCAUCAUCGCUUUUGAAACUGCCUCUGGUGUGUGAGCUGAUGGGAGACCAAAAGCCUCUUCAACAUCUGACCAUUCCCUGCCUCUGCUUACUUGUCCACUUGAACCAGUUAUCUACGGGAGUCCUUAAUGUACCGGGAUGACCUAAAAAAGUGAUACUGCAAAACAAGAAAAUGGAAGUGUGCAACUCUCAAUGAGGACAGCUGGCAUCCCUCCUUUUCCCAUGAAAUGAGGCACACCUGGUAAAAGUGUUGCGCAUUCUGGGCCAGUGAUGAUCUGCAACCCCCUCAGUCUUUUGGAAGACCCAGUUCAUUGCUGAGGUGCUCCUUGUGUCACCAUCUGCAUGGCCAUGAGCUGGAAAGGAGCUGAUCUUCUGAGCUGUGGGUAGCUCUACCUGUCUACAGAGCUACAAGAGAAUGAAGUGCUGAUAAAAUGAAGCUGCAACCAUGGGCUAGGUCUCCAGAGAAGACAUCUCAGUAAAACCCAACAGUUU